CUACUCAAGAGAAGGGUUGCUACUGCAUGGAAGGAAUCUUAUCUGGCGGUAUGGAUAGCAGAACUGCAGCUGAAAGCCCUUCUCUAAAAGUCUAUUUCUUUCUAUGGGAUCCUGAAAUAGUUGAACCUCAGAUGUGGGUGGCCUAAUACCUCUGUAUAUUGGGAAGAAUAAAUGCAUGCACUCAGUUGGCAUGAAAAAUAAAUUGUUUUGCUUGAGGCUGAAAUACUUGACAUCGCUAUUAACCCAGUGGAAGAAAUAAUAACUUACAUGCAUUAAUAGAGACAAAGCAAGAAGAUCAAGAUAAUUAAAGCAAUGGUACAUCAGCUUUCAGCUGUGAAAGCUGGACACUGAGGAAGAACAAGAGAAAGAAGAUAAACACCUUUGAAUUAUGGAUUUGGAGAUAGUUACUUAAGAGUGCUGUGGACUGUAGGAAGAACCAAUCAAUAUAUCCUGGAUGAAAUUGACUGAUUGCUCUCUCAAGGCAAUGAGCAGCAAGCAGAAACUUGGGGCAUCUGAUGUGACUGAUGAUGGACUGGAAAAAAAUUACUUGGCCUGCCAAGGUUGUGGAAAAUAAAAGAACAAGAAGACAAACAGAUAAGGAUGUGGUAAUGGUCAUGCACUUAGAUGGAUUAGAGGAAAUGCAAGAACAGAUCAUGGAGAAGGCUGCUUCGCAGUUGCCAUUAGCCACAGCAGCUGAACGCAACCACCAUAUCAUUCAUGGCAAAGUAGUAUUCUGACAUCAUCAAGAGUGCAGAGCAAACAAGAGUAUAUUGUUUCAACCAUAUGAAAAGCAGACAUGUUGACAUGUUGAUGAAGCGAUGCCAAAAUGGAAAUUAUGAUGCUACAAAAUGUCAAAAAUUUCAGUCUUCUACUCGCUUAUCUAAGAUUUACCCCAGAGCAGGGCUUGGAAUAUAAAAAUGGAAAUAAAAUCUGUAAGGUGGUAAGAAAUAAGAUAUUGCCAUUGGCCUUUGCCCUGACUGACUGGAAGGAGUUGGUCCCACAAUGCUAAUCAAUUUGAUCAGCUCCAGCUAUACUGUACAAUCAUACUUUUGAGGAAGAGUACAAAGGCAUUUAUAGAUUCUGCAACAGUAAACAAUAAAGAUAAAUACAGCCUCAAUUAAGCUGCUCCACCCCAAUGACUACACAGACAAUGGCAGCUGAUUG